rnacentral:tRNA from 1 species
UCCCUGGUGGCUCAGAUGGUAAAGUGUCUGCCUGCAAUGCAGAAGACCUAGGUUUGAUCCCUGGGUCGGGAA